UACGUAGGUGACAAGCGUUGUCCGGAUUUACUGGGCGUAAAGAGCGCGCAGGCGGUCGUUCAAGUCGAGUGUGAAAGCCCCCGGCUCAACUGGGGAGGGUCAUUCGAUACUGAUCGACUCGAAGGCAGGAGAGGGAAGUGGAAUUCCCGGUGUAGUGGUGAAAUGCGUAGAUAUCGGGAGGAACACCAGUGGCGAAGGCGACUUCCUGGCCUGUUCUUGACGCUGAGGCGCGAAAGCUAGGGUAGCAAAUGGG
rnacentral:rRNA from 1 species